rnacentral:tRNA from 1 species
AAGGUAGUUUAAUAAAAAUAUCUAUUUUACACGUAGGGGAUGGCUGGUUAGCCUAUUGUUA